UUUCUCCUUUAAACUUUAGAGGAGUUUCUGCACUGAGAGACUGAAAUGGCCAUCGUCCGGAAAGAGCUAGAGCUAAACAUCUGGGAAGAAAUCCAUCUCAUUAAGACUUUCAGCAACGAUUGCCUCAGGGUACUGUGGAAGUGAUGCUAUGUGCCUUGUAAGGCUAGGUGACAAAAAUGCCAUGCAUUUCUACCUUGUUCUCUUAUGGCACUCACUCUUGGAAUCCAGCCUCCCAUAAAGCUACUGUGAGGAAACCCAUAGUAGCCCAUGCAGAAAGAUCACAUGGAGAGGUAACCAGCUUAGCCAAGGCCCCAGUCAUCAUAGAACAGGGACAAGCCUUUCCCAGUGUGCCGUGUUUGAAUUCCUUACUCACACAAUUGUGAGCAUAAUAAAAUGAUUUCUUCAUGCCCACUAAAUUUUGGAGUGAUUUAUUACACAACAAUGGUAACUGGAACAACCACAUAAAGCUUAACAUCUAACAAGGAAUAAAGAUACAAAAUACCUGAUUCCGAGGUAUUACCUACACCU